CAGUAGCCGCGGGAAUACGUAGGGUGCAAGCGUUAAUCGGAAUUACUGGGCGUAAAGCGUGCGCAGGCGGUUUGUUAAGACAGAUGUGAAAUCCCCGGGCUCAGCCUGGGAACUGCAUUUGUGACUGGCAAGCUAGAGUGUGGCAGAGGGGGGUGGAAUUCCGCGUGUAGCAGUGAAAUACGUAGAUAUGCGGAGGAACACCGAUGGCGAAGGCAGCCCCCUGGGCCAACACUGACGCUCAUGCACGAAAGCGUGGGGAGCAAACAGGAUUAGAUACCCCUGUAGUCCCUGUCCCUUAUAC
rnacentral:rRNA from 1 species